CACUCCUGCGGGAGGCAGCAGUAGGGAAUCUUCCACAAUGGGUGCAAACCUGAUGGAGCAAUGCCGCGUGAGUGAAGAAGGUCUUCGGAUCGUAAAGCUCUGUUGUUAGAGAAGAACACGUGCUAGGUAACUACUAGCGCCUUGACGGUAUCUAACCAGAAAGUCACGGCUAACUACGUGCCAGCAGCCGCGGUAAUACGUAGGUGACAAGCGUUGUCCGGAUUUAUUGGGCGUAAAGGGAGCGCAGGCGGUCUGUUUAGUCUAAUGUGAAAGCCCACGGCUUAACCGUGGAACGGCAUUGGAAACUGACAGACUUGAAUGUAGAAGAGGAAAAUGGAAUUCCAAGUGUAGCGGUGGAAUGCGUAGAUAUUUGGAGGAACACCAGUGGCGAAGGCGAUUUUCUGGUCUAACAUUGACGCUGAGGCUCGAAAGCGUGGGGAGCGAACAGGAUUAGAAACCCUAGUAGUCCC
rnacentral:rRNA from 1 species